AUCACAAGACCUAGAGCACCCUUGAACCUGACAAGGAAAGGAAUAGGACAGGUGAUAAGGAUUCUCAGCCGCCACUUGAUUGAAAUCCAAUGGCUUGUAUCCUGGUUUCAUAAAGUCCCGAGUCGUCUAUAAAGACUUUCACAGCUGAGGGUGUUUCCAGGAAAGUAACGACUUGAUAUUAUUAUUAGGUGCUGCUCAAAGAAGAAGAAGCAGAAGAUCAGUUAUGAAAGGAAAUAAAACAUCGGAUCUCAAUAAAGGUUAUGCAAGAAAACACGGUGACUCUGAACAAAGGCCUGUUUUGUUAUGGAGUAAGAACUGGAUAAUUGGCAGGUGGAUUGCAUUGUGCUUUUUAAUCUUCUUUUUACUGGUCGUUGAUGUGCACUGUUUUUAUCUUCUACGUAAAUACAACCCAGAAGACACAGUUUACGGUCUGUUAGUUAUGAUCUUUGGAAACCUGGUCGGCUUUGGUUUUCUGGGCACGCAAGCUAGAGAACUUAUUGAAGAUUCAAAUACUGUAAAUGAUCUGCCUUGGUGGUGCUAUGGGUUGACAAGCUCUACAUCGGAUUGAGGAUUCAAUGUUAGGUGAGCUCGAGUUCGACCUGAAUUGAAGCUGCAGUAAGGUUGUAAUAUCAGUUAAAGUCGCACGGGAUGAAAUCUAAGUGCUACAAAUAAUGUUUCAUAGAGGCCUCCAAGGUUCGUCACCCGUGACGUGUUUAAAAAUGAAGGUAAUCUGGUUAAUUUGUUUGGAAAUAUAGUAGCCUUUGUUAAUGGUGACUCUUUCCUAUGAAUAUGUAUUGUUGGGCUUUGAACUUCUUGUUGAAGUUCCAUUACUUUUGCCUUUUGGUGUGGUAAUUGUUAAAUACUUUGUACUUGUGUUCUGUUAACAGAUUUAUACUACCCGCUGUUAUGAAUUUCUUUUACAAUUUUUUUGGUUAA